AGUGAACGCUGGCGGUAGGCCUAACACAUGCAAGUCGAACGGCAGCACAGUAAGAGCUUGCUCUUACGGGUGGCGAGUGGCGGACGUGUGAGGAAUCCAUCGCAAUCUACUUUUUCGUCGGGGAUAACGCAGGGAAACUUACGCUAAUACCGCAUACGACCUACGGGUGAAAGUAGGGGAUCUUCGGACCUUGCGCGAUUGAAUGAGCCGAUGUCGGAUUAGCUAGUUGGCGGGGUAAAGGCCCACCAAGGCGACGAUCCGUAGCUGGUCUGAGAGGAUGAUCAGCCACACUGGAACUGAGACACGUUCCAGACUCCUACGGGAGGCAGCAGUGGGGAAUAUUGGACAAUGGGCGCAAGCCUGAUCCAGCCAUACCGCGUGGGUGAAGAAGGCCUUCGGGUUGUAAAGCCCUUUUGUUGGGAAAGAAAAGCAGCAGGUUAAUACCCCGCUGUUCUGACGGUACCCAAAGAAUAAGCACCGGCUAACUUCGUG
rnacentral:rRNA from 1 species